rnacentral:lncRNA from 1 species
CCCACUGGUUCAGACAGAAGCCUCUGGGAGAGCCCUCCAGAGUCCACCUUGAAGGCUUCAUUCCUUCUACCCAGAGCAUCUCCGUGGAGAGGAAGAAAAAGCAUCAACGAAAUGAGGUGCCCCAGCGGUUCUGGGGAGCAAUUCCUCUCUUCAUAUGACCAUUUGGGAAACCCCCAGUGAGAUGGAGUGUGCUUUUAAGCCAUGAAAACCAUGCACAUCAGCCCCACCACAGAGCCUGUGUGAUUUCAUCUUAGAUGGUAUCUUGGAAGCAAGACCUACCUGGACUUUUUAGAAAUCUAAUCUAAUCAUUUUCUGUCUUGGAGUAGAACUUUUAUCUGGCGGCACCAUCACCCUGGGAGACUCCAAAACAGAAAACCAGACAGACAGUGGUUACAAAAUAAAAGACCUGUGUUUGCAGGUAAGGGGAUUUCUCCAUUCUGACCAUCCAGAUUGCGGACUAGAGAAUCUAUCUCUUUGGGUAAGAUGAAAAUGGAUGAAAUUCAAGCUGUGUUUGAAAUAAAGAUUUCAUAAGUUAUUAUUGUUGGUUCCAAAGUAUUAGGCAAAAACUACAGGGGUACCUGGGGAGCCCACAGAGCAGGACACAGGAAGCAGAAACCUCUCUUAGGAUGGUACAGGCAGGGGCACCAACUCUGUCCUCCUGAACUGGAGGAUCACCUUCACACAUUAAAGUUGUGAGCUCAGCUGGGUAAAAUGCACACUACACAGAUACCCCUGAAGCAUGCGACAUUCCCCAACACCCCCAGCUUUGGCUGUAACAGAACUAGUGUGGAUGCCAAAACAAGAUGCCCCACAUGGUUAAAGAAUCUGACGACUCUUUUUGUAGAGGAGUAGUCGACUAUGUCAUUGUUAUUCCCAAAGAUGGAAGGCAGAAUCAUCAGAAAUUACAGUGACAGGGGUUCCUGCUCGGUAGUAUGCCGAAAAGGGAGUUGAAAGGCACAAGUGCGGACAAGAGGAUCAAUCAAAGCUCCGUUCUGUUCCCAAUCCUUCCAGUCCCGAUGCUCCAGAGAGCAGGGGAGGCACCUGUACACAGGUACUGGGCAUGACUGAUGAGGCAGUGCCCAGGAGCCCAACUUCCUCGAAGCGAGAGAAAGGACAGAGAUGCUAAGAUCUGCACACUUCCACAUUUUAGAGAAUUUGGGAGACCCAUGUUGGAUGUGGACCGUGGUUCUUAUUGGUAUUAUUUUCUGAGUGGUAGAUGUGCUUAAUCCCAGCACCUGCCUAAACUGAUGACAACAGCGGCUUUCCUACUGGAAGGACAUUGCCACUUGAUAGCAUAUGCUGUACCUCGCUUGCAUGUCCCUGCUUCCAAGCUUUGGGGAUUUCUAGGAUUGUUUUCUCCUAGUUUCCUUGUGUCACGUGGGCUCCUUUAUAAAAUAUCCCCAUAUAAUAGUGCAUGAUGUGCUCUAUUACAAAACACAAAUGUGUCUGUCCAAGACAGCCUGGGGGCAGCGAGCUGGGGCGUGGCAAGGAGACCAACUGGAAUGACGGGAGAGCCCUAGUGGAUGCACAGUGCACCGCUCUUACACCACAAGCCUCCCGCCCCAGCAUGAUUUAACCCGUGAAGAAAGCAGAGCAUUUAAUAUGUUCUACAGAUGUUUUAAAAAAGGAAUAACGGCGCUUGUCCCAAGUGUGGGAUGGAGGCACACACUCUUCUGAGAUGUGAAGCAAAUUUCAUAUCUCAAAAGAGAAAAAGGACAACAGUUCCUGCUCAGUCACCAAGUCUGAUUCUCAACCCUGGAACGCCUCAGCCUGCCUGAGCCCAGAAAUGAGGCUCCUUGUGAACACUAUGGAAAUGCAAUGGCUGUUUUGAUUUUCCAUAAUGGACAGCACACUGGUCCAGGAGGCAUAUCCAAUCUAAAUGAACUAGCAUCUGUGAAACUUCCUAGCACAGUCCCAGCACAUCGCAGGAGCUGAACUAAUGUUCUUUUCCCUUCCCAAGGAACCCUGAAGCCUUUGAAGGAACCGUGAUUGGGAAGGCAUCAGCAUUUGCUUUUCGCUGGUAUAAAUUUGGACCACUGGUCUGCCCGGGGUGUCCCCUGCCAGUGGUCGUGGACUGCUAGGGAAGCACAGCACACCCCCCAACACCCCCCCGCAAGGAAGACCCCUCAUUGCCCACCAAUGUCCUCUUUCUGGCGUCCCUCACGUUCCUGGCCGAGACCCUCCGUUCAGUCACGCCAUGAGGUCAGGGCCACGGUUGCCAUUGUCUGCUGGAAGCCAGUGCAGCACUUGGAGCUUAGAAGAUGCACACAACUCUUUGUUAAAGAACAAAGAAAUGGGAGAAACUUUUUAAAAGAAAAUAAACAGAGAGAAAGAGGGUGAGACGAAGACUGUGGCUGAGGCUUUGUUUUCAGGCCGAAAGCAGGACACUCAGCUCAUUCUCAAUGAAACUUCAACAUCGAUAAUUCAAAUGUCUUAGAAAUUGUACAUUGGAAGGGGAAAUAAAAUGAUUUUUCAGCUCUUUUAGGCUUACAGAUACCUAAAUGAAGCAUAGAUUGUAGAAUGUUGUUCAGAAGGGAAUUAAAUUUGGAUUUCAUCCUUCCCAGGGACUGGGGGCACUGCUUGUCACUUUGACUCAAAUGGAGAGUCCCUGCCACUGCUUGCUUGCCUUCAUCUGACCACACUGUGCUAAGCGCCCAGCCCCAGGGUAUAGCUGAGCCCUGCACCAGCUGCAGUGAACCGCUUGGCCGGGUGCCCUCUUAGAUCCUCCCUGCCCUGUUCCCUGGCUCUCUGUCCCCUGCGGUCCUCUUCUCUAGGACUGUUGAAACUUCUCCGCAUCUGGUCAGCUUCACACAAAAGGGCUCCUAUUUUACAGGCUGAGAGCCCCUUCCUGUGUGUUGUCAAAACUGACACAUCGCAUUGCUUAGGUUUAAUCUUCAGGUACUUUUUCUGUUUUUUUACCUAUAAAAUUAAUAUAAGCAUAUGCUCCCGUAAUCAACACAAUUUAGAUAAAGCAAGAGUUCCUCUGGGCCCUCCCACUUCCAUUUGCAUUUUCUUUUCUGUGGACUAACUGGUCAUCUUCUUUAUCCACUUGUCUAUGAGGUUGUUGAUCUUGGUCUUUUUUCUUAUUAACAGAUAGGAAUUCUUCAUAGAGCCUAGAUAACAAUCCAGAAUUCAUGUGUAUACGCACGCAUUUAUCUAUAUGUAUAUGUAUAAGCACAUUACACACAUACAUUUGCACACAUACAAAUGUUAGAAAUAUCUUCUCCAACUCUGUUGCUUGUCUUUUAUCUCAGCUUAUAGAGGUUUCCGAUUUUGAAUCAGAAGUUUCACAUUUCAUUGAAGGUAGACAUCACUCUUUCUCUAUUUGCUUUUGUGAUUUGUGUCUUGCUCAAGGCCUUCCCUGUCCUACCCCCAUGUCAAAAGCAUGUUCUCCACUAUUUUCUUUCAGUCCUUAAUCUUUCUUCCGUAGGUAGCCAAUGUCCAGCACGUUUGGUAAUGACACCUCCUCGGUGAAGCGCAAGGCCACCUUGACCCCAGCUCCCAUGGGUCUGUCUUCAGGGGAAUUUUGAGGUUGUUUUUGCUGCAGGGUGUCAGGAACUCCUUCCUCUCUGAUUCUUGGAAAAGUUUACUGUUUGCUGCUGGCUUUGUGGUCUCUCCUCCCUGUGCAGGUAGGGUGUGGAGGGUAAUCAGAGUCAGUCCAGAGGUUGCUCAAAGUUUCAGUUUAUCUCCAGCCACUAUUUGCUAACUCAUCUGAGAAUUCUGCCAAGAUAAACAUCAGACAGACCCUCCUAUGGUUCAAUCAGUCUGCUCCUGGGAAAAUUAGGACAUGUGUCUGCCCGGCUCUGCUGGUGUUCCUGAGAGUGACUGGUCUCUGUGUGACCUUUCAUUGGCCAGGCUCCCCCAAGGGAAACGUCCACCAGCAGAAAAAGUAGGAAAAAAAUCCCUUUAUGCAGAGAAAAUACACUGCAGAAACAAACAUAGUCUAACCCUGCCUUUUAAAACAUAGCUUUUAGACUGAAAGAGUUCACCCUUCCUCUCUCCACCUGGUCACUCUUGGGAUGACAAUUUCAAAUCCCACAUAACAUUCACAGUGUGUUAUUCCCAUGCAAUUACCUUGUUAGGUUUCAUACAUUUAGAACACGGAGGGGGACAGGGGAUGCUUCUCCGCAGUCUCUUCGUUAUUGGGACAUACUCCAACGCUCAGACAGCUCCACAAUGCACCUUUCUCCCACUCUUCAUUCCUUUUCUGGCAACACUCUUUCUCUCUCAGAGGAUUUUAAAAACAUGUCUUGUUACAAAAAGCAAAGAAUGACAGUUGCUUCAGAAAAAUACCCAACUGAAAGAUCCACUCCCUGACCAUGGAGAGCUCACUACAGAUCUAGAAACGCGAGGCAGAGACUUGAAGAUGCUGCACACAUCCUGUGUGGGAGUGGGAGAAAAGCUGCUGCUUCCUUAGCAUUAAAACAGACAGGGUCAUUUCAGCCUUGCAGGGGAUGACCAGCCCUCACUGGAAUUAUGUGAUGGCAUCACAUUUGCUCCUCAUGUAAACAUUCCAGCGGGAGAACGACUGCUCCCUGAAGACACUCAUGGUGUGAUAAACAGCAGUCAGUGGAAUCAAGGCAGGGGCGAGGUCCUCUUCCUUCUGCCUCCUUCUCACCAUGGCACCUUGAGAGAGGCCCUUUGUCCCUCGGGUUUUUCCAUUUUCUCAUUUGCAAAAUGAAGAGGAUCCCAUCUACACCGUCGUGUUUAGAAAUGACACAAGAUCACAAAAACCUCUGCCGCCUCGAAGAUACAGAAUUGCUGGUGAGGCUCGUUGUCUGAGAGCCGGGCUCUGCUCCCCUCGGGGCCAAGUCUACCAAUUGUUCUUUGGAAAACAAAAGCUGGAGGCAUUAAAACUGGGCUGUUCCAAGUGUUCUUUACGUUUUAUAAAUUUUAUAAGGUGAAACUCAAUAUUUAGAUGAUUGGUAGAAACGUCUCUUGGGGGCUUUAUGGUUUUCUAACAUAGAGUGGGGGGACAUGUUACCUCGGCAGGAGCAUGUGGGCUGAGAGGAGGGAACCACAUCAGGGAGGCCGGUGACUGGAGAGGGAAGUCCUCCUCCUGUGGAGGGCCUGGCCCUCAUGGAUUCCCCACUUCCAGGCAACUUUGUGACCUCAGAGAAGCUAACCUGAUGUGCAUGCUACUGACGUUGCCCAUGCCGCUCCUGCUGGCUGAUGGAACUAUCUGUCUGGAGUCUGUGGAUGGCAGACCUCCUGAUUGUGUGGAGCGUGAGUUUUUCGAAAGAGAUCUCUCACUUUCAUCCAGGCUGGAGUGUAGUGGCACACACCACCACACCAGGAUAAUUCUU